rnacentral:snRNA from 1 species
GAAAAUUAUGUGUUUACGUUUUU